UUGUAAUUGUGGCAUUUGGAUUCUUUUAUAGGACUGAACUAUUGCUUCAGCUCCAGCUACAGAUAGUUGGAAAUCUUCCUUUUUGUUCUGGAAAAUAAAAAGAUUUCUCGAGUGCCAUAUACUCCAACACACAGCAACUAUCAGCUCCAUUUCAGUCUUGCUUCUUCGAUCAGCCAAAGCCAACAACAAGCUUAGGACAUCCUUACACUUCAGGGCUUUCACUUCCUCUUCAAAGGUUGUAAGCUUCCAAAUUUUUCGCGAGGCUUUACAGUCAAACAACGAGUGAAAGAUAGUCUCUCUAUGACUCCUGCAUCUCUGACACCAGGGGGUUUGUAAAAUCCUUCGCUUCCAUAAAUUCUCUGAUGUGGGCAGCAAGUCAUUUGUUGCCCUCCACAUAAAAAUCUUCACUUUCUCCGGAAUUUGCAGAUACCAAAUUGAGUUCCAUGAAUUAUUGUCUUCCUUUGAGCUGCUAGGCCUGUUUGGGAACUUCAUUUGUAAAGCUAGUUGAUAACCACUCUUGACUGAGUAAUUACCCUUCUUGUCAUAAUGCCACAAAACUUGGUCUGGACUUAAUUGUCUUGGCAGAGGGAUUUUUAGAAUUUGUGCAGCAUCUUCUUGAUGGAAAUGUUGUCUUAUUACAUCAUCUCUCCAGCAUUGGUCUUCAUCAAUCAAAACUGACACGGUUGUAUCCAGGGGAAGGCUUGGAGGCGAUAUUGGUUUGAAUGUUUCUGGUCUUGGUAACCAGCCACUUUGGUACACUUUCACCAGCUUUCCAUCUCCAAUUCUCCAUCUAAGGCCCUUUCGAAUAACCUCUCUUCCCCACAAUAUGCUCCUCCAUAUAUAAGAGGGGUUUGAACCAAUUUGUGCUUCCAUAAAACAUGAAUGCCUGAAAUAUUUUUCCUUCAUCACCCUAGCUACAAGCGAUUCUGGUGCUUGGAUGAUCCUCCAGCUCUGCUUUGCUACUAGCGCUUGGUUAAAACUGGAUAAAUCUCGGAAGCCCAAUCCCCCUCUCUUUUUAGCUUGACACAAUCUUUCCCAUUUGGACCAGUGAAUAGAUCUUUUCUCCCUUUUUUUUCCCCACCAAAAACCAGCAAUGGCCUUCUGCAUAUCCUCACAUAGUCCUAGGGGGAGCUUAAAAACGCUCAUGGCAUAGGCAGGCACUGCUUGAGCUACUGCUUUUAUAAGAAUCUCCUUCCCUCCACUUGAGAAAAAAUUUGCUUGCCAAUUGGAGAUUUUGUUUAUAAUUCUGAGCUUGAUUUCGUUAAAGAAGCUGGUUUUUUUCCUCCCCACCAUUGAGGGAAGUCCUAGAUACUUUUCAUGUCUUGAGACCACUUGAAGCUGAAAAAUAUCCUUAAUUGUCGUUAUCUGCCCUUGCUUGGCAUUUUCACUGAAGAACAUGGAGGACUUUUCAAAAUUGAAGAUUUGCCCUGAGGCAGCAGCAUAGCAAUCAAAAAGCUGCUUCAGAUUCGUACAAUCCUCUUUAGUGGCUCUUGUGAAAACCAAGCUAUCAUCUGCAAAUAGAAGGUGAGUAAUAGACAAGUUCCCGCUGAAUUUUAAACCAUGAAUCAGCUGAUUUGAUUCAGCUUGGUGCAAAAGAUUUGUGAAAACCUCAGCACAGAUGAUGAACAAAUAUGGCGAGAGAGGGCAGCCUUGUCUUAAGCCUCUUUGAGGCUGGAUAAGGCCUUUUGCUACCCCAUUGAUUAGCACAGAGAAAGAUGUUGUAGAUAUACAUCUCAUGACCAGCUCUACCCAUUUGUGAGAGAAACCCAACCUUACCAAAGUGCAUCUUAAGAAUUCCCACUCCACCCUAUCAUAUGCUUUGCUAUUGUCUAAUUUCAAAGCCACUAGACCAUGCUUUUUAUUCUUGCUAUGCCUAAUCUUAUGAAGACACUCAUACCCAACAAUUAUAUUAUCGGUUAUGAGCCUAUUUGGUACAAAGGCACUUUGAGUUGGUGAAAUUACAGAAUCAAGGAUUAACUUCAGCCUAUUCGCUAUAGUUUUUGCAAUGAUCCUAUAGAUAACAUUACAAAGACUGAUCGGUCUAUACUCCAUCACUGCCUUAGGCAUUGCAAUUUUGGGAAUUAAGCAAAUGAAGGUAUGGUUCAGAGGAGCUAUAUUACCUCCAUCAUUGAGGAUGUGCAGACAUGUGGCUAUCACUCCUUCGCUGACUGAUGCCCAAUGCUUCUGGAAAAAAACCGCUGGGAGGCCAUCUGGGCCAGGGGCUUUCGUUGGAUGCAUCUGACUCAGAGCUUCUAGAAUUUCUGCUUCUGUGAAAGCCUGGUCCAGAUGGGAAUUCAUUUCUGCUGUGACUUUGCGAGGCAUGUUUCUGAGGGCUAGCUCCAGGUGCUGUUGGGAGGGAUUUGUUGAUGUGAAGAGGUUAUGGUAAUAUUCGCAGAACAUUCUCUCGAUAUCCUCUGCUUCCUCAGACCAUCUGUAUUUUCAUCAAAAAUUCCACUGAUCCAAUUUUUCCUUUUCCGAGCUGAAGCUUUGGAAUGGAAAAACUUGGUGUUUUUAUCCCCUUCUUGUAGCCAAACUGCUCUAGACCUCUGUCUCCAAUAGAUUUCUUCAUCCAAGAGCAAAUCAUCUAUUUGUCUUUCCAAGAGCUUUACUUGAUCGCCACUACUAUAAUGAUUGUUGUUGUCCUUAUAGGUUUUCAGUUCAGCCAAUAACUUCUUUAGCUUCUUCUCUCUCCCUCCAAAGGCUUGUUUACUCCAGAGUUUCAGCUCAGCCAAAGACUCCUUAGCUGCUUUUUUAAAAACAGAGACAGGGUCUGUAUCUUUCCACAUUCUCUUGCACUAUGAAGACAUGUGGAGUCCAUAUGAGAAAUGUUUGACGCCCAACUUUGGCAAACCUUUCAUGACAAAACUUUUCAAAAGCUCUUUUAUACGUGGAUGCCAAAUAAUUCAAUUAAUAAAACUUAUAACAUUAUAAGAAAAUUUAGUAGCCAAUAAGGCUGUUGGUAUUAAAGUGUUGUAUUUUUUGAUCUACAAUUGCUAUAAAAAAAUAUAAUUAUAAAAUAAAAAUUAAUAGUAUGAAUAAAUAUGACUCUUAAAUUUUAAUUUUGACAAAAACAGUAAAAAUGUUAUACGUUCUUUCAUCGUACUAGUAGUAAAUUAAAUCAAUUUAACUUUUAAAACAUAAUAAUUAAUAUUUAUCAAAUAUUUUAUUAUUGUAACUUUUAAAUUACAGUUCUCCACUAUCAAUACCAAGCGGAGAUUAAGUAGUGGUUAAUUAAAUAAUAAUAAAAAAAUAUGUUAGCUAAAAAGAGUAAUAGAACGUUUGUCUAAUAAGACUAAAAUUACCAGCUGUUAAUUGGUUGUUAGUUAAUAAUAAUUUAAUAUCCUAUUGCACAAGACAAAAUAACCACUAAAGACAAAAUCCAGCCUUGUUCUAGCCUUGAUAAUUUUAUUAUGUUUGCCAACGUUACGCAAUUAAAUUUCAUUUCAUUAUAUUAAGAGACAAAGAAAUGUUGAUAAAACCAAGGACUUAUAUGAUUAUAUAUAAUCAAUCAAGAUUCAAGAAUCAUGGGAAAGAGAAGAAAAAAAAAAAAAUUAGUCGAAUUGAUAAAAACAUGGAGAGAUUAAGGGUUUCUCUUUACUUAAUGAUUGUCUUGUCUAUCUUUCAUACUAAUUUUGAUGGUGCUAAUGCUACAAAAUUAAAGAGUGACAAGCUUUGCAGCCAGUGCUCCAAUUGUGAGUCAAAACAGUGCCCUGCUAGUGAAGCUUAUCCCCACAUGACGGCAUUCGACAACACGCUCAUCGCCGGUGCCUUGCAGUCGGAUUUUGUGGACUCCGAUGAUCGGGGAGUUUACUCGGUUCCCGAUAUCAAAGGUGGUGAAUCUGAGGAAUAUAAUGCUUAUUUUGGCUGGAAAUCCACUUCUGGUUCUACUUCUGGGUACCACAGGUAAGAUGCAAUGUUACAACAUUGUGCACAUAUUUUUAAUUUCUAACUAAAUUGACCAAUUUAUUGAAAUAAAAAACAAUGUAAAUGUGACCUGCAUUAUUCUUCAAAUAGCAAUUUUGGAUGCAUUUUUUAAAUUAAAAAAAAUGGGGGGGGGGGGUGUGUGUUGGAAUCUGAAUCGUUGCUAGAGACAAAACGACUUUGAAGGUGAGUUUGACGCCCAACUUUUUUUUUUUUUUUGAAAUGAAAGUAUUACUUUCAAUCAUUCAACUAUGUGAAUAGAUACAAAAGAUGGGUUGGAAGAUUGUCCUCCCAAAUUACACAAUCAGUGUAGUCUAAAACUAGCUUAGCAAGUGUGUGAGCAAAACCAUUACAAGUUCUUGGUGAGUGCUGUAUCUUGACAUGCUUUAGCCUUUUCAUCGUAUCUUGAACCUCAGAAACAAUCCAAAAAAUCUCAGCUUUUGUGCUUUUUCUAGCUGAAACUAAAUCUGUGACUUCCUUUGAAUCUGUCUCAACAAUCAAGGGUAGACACCCUGCACUUGCAGCAACUUCCAGCCCGAAUCUUGUUGCUUCGGCUUCUGCAUAAUCCACUCUGUCAAGCCAUUUUGAUGGCUUUAUGGCUGCUGUGAUGAACUUGCCCUCUGAAUUUCUAAUUACAAUGCCCAACCCCACUCUCUGAUUUUCUAGCUUUAUAGCAGCAUCAACAUUCACCUUGAACCAACCUGCAGGGGGGCACUUCCAAUGCUUAUGGGAUACCAAAUCUUGAUCUGAAAAUGCUUGUAAUUGUGGCAUUUGGAUUCUUUUAUAGGACUGAACUAUUGCUUCAGCUCCAGCUACAGAUAGUUGGAAAUCUUCCUUUUUGUUCUGGAAAAUAAAAAGAUUUCUCGAGUGCCAUAUACUCCAACACACAGCAACUAUCAGCUCCAUUUCAGUCUUGCUUCUUCGAUCAGCCAAAGCCAACAACAAGCUUAGGACAUCCUUACACUUCAGGGCUUUCACUUCCUCUUCAAAGGUUGUAAGCUUCCAAAUUUUUCGUGAGGCUUUACAGUCAAACAACGAGUGAAAG
rnacentral:lncRNA from 1 species